ensembl:lncRNA
GAUCCAUCUUGUGAACAGAGUUUCCAGACUAUAAUUACAGCGAAAACGUAUCUGUGAGCGAUAGGUCGGCGGCGCCAGGCUAGUUCUCGCUGACUCAGAUGGUGGAAUGUGGUGCUAGUGAGGCCAAAUUUGCUCAUCAGAAAUUGCUCAAAAUCCCACUCUGGGGAUCCAUAUAAAUACACCCACCUGCACACUCUGCUUGCCCAGUGCCAGCGCUCCUCUCUGCCCACUCUGGUGCCCUCCUUCACCUGUCUACUGCCCCCUGGUGGUAUGAUUUACACCCUGAUUGCUGGUCACAUGACUCCAGUGACCGCCAUCGCAGGAGGUCGGCAUGGCUCAGUCGCGGUCACAUGUUCCAGUGAAGGAACGCUGAGACUGUGGGACCUGGAGCGGGGCGGUGUGGUGCGGACCAUCUAUGGGGACGCCGGUUUCUCUGCGGCGGACACACUUACUCUAUGCUUGAACGACAGCUUGGUGGCCAUCACCAAAGGCCACUGCCUCCAGGUUAGAGAGCUGUCCACUGGGAAAUUGCUGUAUUCCGAGAGUGAGUCUUUGGAUGUUCCCAUGGUUACCUGCGCAUCUGAGGGACAGCUUUUGGUGGUCUUCUUUGAUGGGAGUCAAGUGGUAAAGGUGUUUGACCUUGCGGCCUCCUGUAAGCUCUUGUUUUGCACAAACAUCGCCCUGGAGUCGGAACCCAUCCACAAAGACCAGUCAGUCCUGGUGUCCCGCAACUCAGUCAAAGACUACGUGCUGUUUGCCUACAGAAGCGGUGGGGAGGCUGCUGUAUUCAGUGCCCGAGGAGGAUCGGUUGUAGCCACACUGAAAGCCCAGCAUCUGUCUGCUACCAUACAGGCUGUGGAAAUGUCCUCUCAGUAUCUGCUGGUCUUCUGCAGAUACCCUUACAGAAGCCAGGGUGACAUCAUCCACAUUGAGAUCUUCAGUACCACCACCUUCCAAUAUCAGCGUUCCAUCAUGGGUUGUGGUCAGGACCUCGUUUCCCAGGUCGCCGUAACCAGGGGCGGAUCCCACGUAGUGGCUUUUUGCCCCUCCUCCCGCAGCAGCACCACUGACAUCAUGGUCUGGAACCUGGAGACUGAGGACCACAAACACCUGGCUCGCUUUCCUGGCCUGAUUGUUCAGGGGGUGUGCUUUGACCUGCGGUUCUGCCUGGGGUUCUGUCGAGGUGAGAGGUUCCUGAACUUGUGGAACCUAGUCUCUAGGAUCCAUGACCAGACCCUCACCUACAACAUCCACAGAGUGAGGAGCGAAGGUACCCAGGAGGUCGUCCCCAUGGGCAGGGUCCCCAGGUACGUGCUGUGCAGGAGCGUGCGACACGGCACCAUACGGGUGUGGAACAUCGCCCGGCCUCGACUGGCAGGACGGCCGGUGAGGGUGGAGCACGGCCUGUUCACCAACGCUGACGUGGCGUUGGCACGCGACCUGAAACUUUACAUCCUGACUGACCGAGGAACCUCCAGCUUCAUUGAGUCAAGCACUCCUGUGUACCAGACAUUGUUGGUGUAUGACCUGCUGAAAAAGAGCUAUGUAAAGAGACAGACAGGGCUCUUCAUAGUGCCCUGCCCCCAGACUGACUACGCCAUGCUGCACGGCCAAAUUCUCAUGGGUCUCUCAGAGACGAGGGACCAUUUAAUACUGUGGGAUCUGGACUCGGGCUACAUCAAGGGUCGUAUCAAGCCAUCUCACAAAGAGUCUCUGCUGUCCAACUUGCCAGCCAGAGAAAGGCAGUCCCAGGUCAUACCUGCCACAGAACACAGAGUGUUUCAGUUGGUGAUGCCGUGGGACCAGCGCACGGAGACGCACACGGCAAAGAGGAGGCGUCUGGAGAGGGAGGCGCAGUGGGAGACGGAGGAGCAGCGGCGUCUGGACCAGGAGAAGUUCAACGCCGUGGAUCAGUACCUCCUCAGUGGAGACGAACAGGUGGUGGUGUGCUCUUACUUUGCUCACCAUCUGAACGUGUUCAGCGUGGACACCCAGAACCACCUGCACACCCUGGAGGACCUCUCCUCUCUGCUGGGCCUCCAGACGGCUGCUCUCACACACACCGGGGGGCACCUGGUGCUCAGCAACUACAGUGAGGCGCAGCACACACCCUACCUCACCCUUUGGGACCUGAAGAAAGGCAAGGUGCGCAAACGACUGAAAAAUGAGCCGGGAAUCUGUUGUGUUGCCAUGACGAAUGAUGCCAGCCGAAUAGCGUUUGGCAUUACUGGAAUAAAUAAACUUAAGGUGUGGGAUCCAUUCAAGAGGAAACACAGAACCAUUUCAGGCUAUGGGAGUCUGAGAUUUGAGGUGGUGAACCAGCUUUUCCUUGUGGAAGAAGGGGCUAAAGCUAUUCUACUGGCUGGUGAGCUGAGCAUGUGGGACCUGAAUGCUGGAACAGUCCUGUCAGUCUUCACGCCCGACUCCACCAUCCAGUGCAUCUCUCUCCUCGGUGACGCACACAACACCAUCCUGCUCGGCUUCAGCGACAGCCCCACCCUCAUCGCUGUGAGACUGAGUCACAAUGGGGUCGUCAAGGCCGCAGCUGGCUCCCGGGGGGAUGACCUGUUUGGGGAGUCCAGCAGCAGUGAGGAUGAGGAGGAGAAAGGUGGUCGAUAACAAGCCAAGAGUCAGUACGCUAAGGGAUAAUUGGGGAUGAAGAAAUAAUAAGAUAGAGAUUUUAUGGAAUAACAAUUGGUGACAGAUGUCUGUAGAAUGACAUAAAGAUCCUCUUUUCGACGCUAUGCAAAUCACACUGAAGCUUUACAUCAUUUGGGAGGCACUGUUGAGUAAGUCGUGAAAAUUAAUAUGGCAACGGGUUGUGCAAAUCUUAAUGUAUCAACAAAAUAGGUUCCUACAAGUCACAUGAAUCAAAUAAAUAUAAUACAUUAUUAUUAUUGUUGUUGUUA